CUCCUCUCAGGGUCGCACCUGGAGAGUUUCCAGUACUCUACCAGUCUCGACUACGAAAGGGAGAGUCAAGCAAAUGCAUAUCCAUUCCAUUCCUGGCUUGGUCAGUGGCUAGGGAGUGGAAGGCAAUCUGCUACACGU
rnacentral:snoRNA from 2 species